UACGUAGGGUGCGAGCGUUGUCCGGAUUUAUUGGGCGUAAAGAGCUCGUAGGCGGUUUGUCGCGUCGGGAGUGAAAACCAGGUGCUUAACACCUGGCUUGCUUUCGAUACGGGCAGACUAGAGGUAUUCAGGGGAGAACGGAAUUCCUGGUGUAGCGGUGAAAUGCGCAGAUAUCAGGAGGAACACCGGUGGCGAAGGCGGUUCUCUGGGCCGAUACUGACGCUGAGGAGCGAAAGCGUGGGGAGCGAACAGG
rnacentral:rRNA from 1 species